rnacentral:rRNA from 1 species
CCUACGGGUGGCAGCAGUGGGGGAUAUUGCACAAUGGGGGGAACCCUGAUGCAGCGACGCCGCGUGGGCGAAGAAGCGCCUCGGCGCGUAAAGCCCUGUCAGCAGGGAAGAAAAUGACGGUACCUGAAGAAGAAGCCCCGGCUAACUACGUGCCAGCAGCCGCGGUAAUACGUAGGGGGCAAGCGUUAUCCGGAUUUACUGGGUGUAAAGGGGGCGUAGACGGCGAUGCAAGCCAGGAGUGAAAGCCCGGGGCCCAACCCCGGGACUGCUCUUGGAACUGCGGGGCUGGAGUGCAGGAGGGGCAGGCGGAAUUCCUGGUGGAGCGGUGAAAUGCGUAGAUAUCAGGAGGAACACCAGUGGCGAAGGCGGCCUGCUGGAC